rnacentral:lncRNA from 1 species
ACAUAAUGGGCUUGGAGUAAUGGAGAACUCCAAGGGCAGGAGGUAACCAUUAAAGAGGACCAUCAUGUAGUGUGAGGAGUCAACAUUUCACACUAGAAAGCCCUUGGUUCAAGUUUUGUCUCUGCCACCUACAGAUUUUGUAACCCUGAGGAAACUAGCUACCUCUUUAUGUACUGCCCUAUGGAGAGGCACACAUGUCAAGAAACUGAGGGAGUGCCUUCCAGUCAACAGCCAGCCAGGAACUAAGGUGCUCAGUACAGCAGCCUCCACAAAGGACUGAACAAUGCCAACAGCUAUUUGACUGUGCUUGGAAGAUCUCCGUUUAGUUAACCCUUCAGAUGAGACCGCAGCCCUGGCCAGCAAACAAAUUGCAGCCUAUGGAAAGACCUUAAGGCAGAAGCACCCAACUGAACCACCCGAGGGCUCUGACUUACAGAAACUGUGAGCAUAUAGUGAAAUGGCCUCUACCUUAUUUUGAAUGGAUUUCUGGGAUAAAGUUCUUCAGUGAUAACAUGUUUGAAUGAGAUCAUUUGUACAAAUCUUGAAACCAAAGCACAGCCUGUAUGAACCCAUGUUGAACCCUGGACUUUCAGGACUACUGUAUGGCUAACCACAGCCCUGCAAGGCCAGGCUCAGCAUGUCACAGUUUUGCCACUGAACAAGAAUCUUUCGAAGGAUCGCAAAUACUACAUGGAAAAUGACUGUAUUCUUUCUGCAAGGCCACUCUCUUAGACAUCACCCUAACAAAAACAAUUACGGGUUGGAAGAGGAGAAAGGAUGCAAAGUUUGUGCCUUGACCUAAAAAAGGUCAUGAGCACCUCUACCGGUUCUUGGAAACAUUAGUUGCAGUGGAUCUCAAAUUCUAUUGCGCAAAAGAACGACCUGGUGACCCUCUAAAAGUGUAGAUUCUCUGGUUUCACCCCUAGACCUUGUGACUCACAUGUCCAGUGAGGCCAGGAACUCCUCACUGUUAACCUGUGCCCUAUUUUAACAAGCCCUGCUGGGAGUCGGGAUGUUGGGGGUCCCCACACCACACUGAAAUAGAGGAAUUCCCUGCUCAAAGAUCCCGUUAUGUCCUGAUUACAAUCUGCAAUGAGAUUAUGAAAUCAUUAAAUCAUGAUUAAGCCA